rnacentral:tRNA from 1 species
AACAGGAUAAGCUAAGCCUAAGCUAUUGGGUUCAUACCCCAGAUAUGAAUUUUUUUUUUCUCCUGUUA